UUGUUGCCUCGGCGGAUCAGCCCGCUCCCGGUAAAACGGGACGGCCCGCCAGAGGACCCCUAAACUCUGUUUCUAUAUGUAACUUCUGAGUAAAACCAUAAAUAAAUCAAAACUUUCAACAACGGAUCUCUUGGUUCUGGCAUCGAUGAAGAACGCAGCAAAAUGCGAUAAGUAAUGUGAAUUGCAGAAUUCAGUGAAUCAUCGAAUCUUUGAACGCACAUUGCGCCCGCCAGUAUUCUGGCGGGCAUGCCUGUUCGAGCGUCAUUUCAACCCUCAAGCACAGCUUGGUGUUGGGACUCGCGUUAAUUCGCGUUCCCCAAAUUGAUUGGCGGUCACGUCGAGCUUCCAUAGCGUAGUAGUAAAACCCUCGUUACUGGUAAUCGUCGCGGCCACGCCGUUAAACCCCAACUUCUGAAUGUUGACCUCGGAUCAGGUAGGAAUACCCGCUGAACUUAAGCAUAU
rnacentral:rRNA from 1 species